CGAGGAUAAGCCAAAUCUGCCGAAAGACAUGGACGGGGAAUUACGGGUCUUAUCGGAGAUAACUGGAUUGCCUUAA
rnacentral:ncRNA from 1 species